rnacentral:misc_RNA from 1 species
GAUGAAAGAACGUAGCGAAAUGCGAUAAGUAAUGCGAAUUGCAGAAUUCCGUGAGUCAUCGAAUCUUUGAACGCACAUUGCGCCCUUUGGCAUUCCGAAGGGCAUGCCUGUUCGAGCGUCAUUUAUCAACCCUCAAGCCCGGCUUGCGGUUGGGUCCCGCCGUGGGUGACCACGGCGGACCCGAAAGGUAAUGGCGGUGCCCGUGGGGCCCUGGACGCAGCGAGCUUCUCGGCACGCGUCCCGGCGGUCCCCGGCGCCGUCUCCACCAACCCACCACGCAGAUUGACCUCGGAUCAGGUAGGGAUACCCGCUGAACUUAAGCAUAUCAAUAAGCGGAGGA